rnacentral:rRNA from 1 species
UAGGGAAUCUUCGGCAAUGGACGAAAGUCUGACCGAGCAACGCCGCGUGAGUGAAGAAGGUUUUCGGAUCGUAAAACUCUGUUGGUAGAGAAGAACGUUGGUGAGAGUGGAAAGCUCAUCAAGUGACGGUAACUACCCAGAAAGGAACGGCUAAAUACGUGUCAG